rnacentral:rRNA from 1 species
UACAGAGGGGGCAAGCGUUGUUCGGAAUUACUGGGCGUAAAGGGCGCGUAGGCGGCCAACUAAGUCAGACGUGAAAUCCCCUCGGCUUAACCGGGGAACUGCGUCUGAUACUGGAUGGCUUGGAUUUGGGGAGAGGGAUGCGGAAUUCCAGGUGUAGCGGUGAAAUGCGUAGAUAUCUGGAGGAACACCGGUGGCGAAGGCGGCAUCCUGGACCAAUAUUGACGCUGAGGAGCGAAAGCCAGGGGAGCAAACGGG